UUGCAGUAUGCUUGAUGUGUUCCUCUUUGGGUUGAUCCUGUGUGGUACUCUCUAUGCUUCUUAAACUUGGGUGACUGUUUUCCUUCCCAGGUUGGAGAAGUUUCCAGUUAUUCUCUCCAAAAUUUUUCUCAGGUCCUUUCUCUCUCUCUUCUCUUUCUGGGACCCCCAUAAUAUGGAUAUUAGCGUGCUUCAUGUUGUGCCAGAGUUCUCUUAAACUAUCCUCAUUUCUUUUCAUUCUUUUUUUCUUUUUUCUGUUCUGCAGUAGUGAUUUCCAUAGAAGAAUCUGUCUUCUAACUCACUGAUCCAUUCUUCUGCCUCAUUUAGUCUGU